rnacentral:rRNA from 1 species
GACGAACGCUGGCGGCGUGCUUAACACAUGCAAGUCGAACGGAAAGGCCCUGCUUUUGUGGGGUGCUCGAGUGGCGAACGGGUGAGUAACACGUGAGUAACCUGCCCUUGACUUUGGGAUAACUUCAGGAAACUGGGGCUAAUACCGGAUAGGAGCUCCUGCUGCAUGGUGGGGGUUGGAAAGUUUCGGCGGUUGGGGAUGGACUCGCGGCUUAUCAGCUUGUUGGUGGAGUAGUGGCUUACCAAGGCUUUGAAGGGUAGCCGGCCUGAGAGGGGGACCGGGCACAUUGGGACUGCGAUACGGCCCAGACUCCUACGGGAGGCAGCAGUGGAGAAUAUUGCACAAUGGGCGGAAGCCUGAUGCAGCAACGCCGCGUGCGGGAUGACGGCCUUCGGGUUGUAAACCGCUUUCGCCUGUGACGAAGCGUGAGUGACGGUAAUGGGUAAAGAAGCACCGGCUAACUACGUG